UGCUAAAUUUCAUUAGUUUGUGGUGCGCUGUUGGGAACUGGGCGAACUACCAGCAGACCUUCGUGAUGCAGUCAUCAUCACCUUGUAUAAUGAUGGUGCGACUAGGCAAAUCCAAGGCCCGACUGUUUACCAAAAACAUAGCCUUUAGCAAACCAAGUAUUAAAGGUGAAGCCUGCCCAGUGACAAUACGUUCAACGGCCGCGGUAUCCUAACCGUGCAAAGGUAGCGCAAUCAAUUGUCCCAUAAAUCGGGACUUGUAUGAAUGGCUUAACGAGGUCUUAGCUGUCUCCUACAGAUAAUCAGUGAAAUUGAUCUCCCUGUGCAAAAGCAGGAAUAUCCCCAUAAGACAAGAAGACCCUGUGGAACUUUAAAAUCUGCUACCACUCCCAUUAACAAUACCCACCUACAGGGCCCACUCCACGGGAUUUUGCUGGUGUGCAUUUUUUGGUUGGGGCGACCUUGGAGACAAACUCAACCUCCAAAUACCAGACAAUCCAUCUUAACCAAGAACUACCCAUCAACGUGCUAAUAGCAACCAGACCCAAUAUAAUUGAGUAAUGAACCUAGCUACCCCAGGGAUAACAGCGCAAUCUCCUUCAAGAGCCCACAUCGACAAGGAGGUUUACGACCUCGAUGUUGGAUCAGGACAUCCUAGUGGUGCAACCGCUACCAAGGGUUCGUUUGUUCAACGAUUAACAGUCCUACGUGAUCUGAGUUCAGACCGGAGUAAUCCAGGUCGGUUUCUAUCUAUGUUAUAACUCCUUCUAGUACGAAAGGACCGAAGAAGUAAGGCCUAUACCACAAGCACGCCUUCGCACCCAGUAAUGAACCCAACUAAAUUACUAAGAGCUUCACCACAACCCCCUCCUAGAAAAGGACCGCUAGCGUGGCAGAGCUUGGCAAAUGCAGAAGGCUUAAGCCCUUUACCCAGAGGUU
rnacentral:ncRNA from 1 species